AGUCGAGCGGAUGAAGAGAGCUUGCUCUCUGAUUCAGCGGCGGACGGGUGAGUAAUGCCUAGGAAUCUGCCUGGUAGUGGGGGACAACGUCUCGAAAGGGACGCUAAUACCGCAUACGUCCUACGGGAGAAAGCAGGGGACCUUCGGGCCUUGCGCUAUCAGAUGAGCCUAGGUCGGAUUAGCUAGUUGGUGAGGUAAUGGCUCACCAAGGCGACGAUCCGUAACUGGUCUGAGAGGAUGAUCAGUCACACUGGAACUGAGACACGGUCCAGACUCCUACGGGAGGCAGCAGUGGGGAAUAUUGGACAAUGGGCGAAAGCCUGAUCCAGCCAUGCCGCGUGUGUGAAGAAGGUCUUCGGAUUGUAAAGCACUUUAAGUUGGGAGGAAGGGCAGUAAGCGAAUACCUUGCUGUUUUGACGUUACCGACAGAAUAAGCACCGGCUAACUCUGUGCCAGCAGCCGCGGUAAUACAGAGGGUGCAAGCGUUAAUCGGAAUUACUGGGCGUAAAGCGCGCGUAGGUGGUUUGUUAAGUUGAAUGUGAAAUCCCCGGGCUCAACCUGGGAACUGCAUCUAAAACUGGCAAGCUAGAGUAGGGC
rnacentral:rRNA from 1 species